rnacentral:rRNA from 1 species
GUGGGGAAUAUUGGACAAUGGGCGAAAGCCUGAUCCAGCCAUGCCGCGUGUGUGAAGAAGGUCUUCGGAUUGUAAAGCACUUUAAGUUGGGAGGAAGGGCAGUAAGUUAAUACCUUGCUGUUUUGACGUUACCGACAGAAUAAGCACCGGCUAACUCUGUGCCAGCAGCCGCGGUAAUACAGAGGGUGCAAGCGUUAAUCGGAAUUACUGGGCGUAAAGCGCGCGUAGGUGGUUCGUUAAGUUGGAUGUGAAAGCCCCGGGCUCAACCUGGGAACUGCAUACAAAACUGGCGAGCUAGAGUACGGUAGAGGGUGGUGGAAUUUCCUGUGUAGCGGUGAAAUGCGUAGAUAUAGGAAGGAACACCAGUGGCGAAGGCGACCACCUGGACUGAUACUGACACUGAGGUGCGAAAGCGUGGGGAGCAAACAGGAUUAGAUACCCCAGUAGUCC